GGUCAGAACGAACGCUGGCGGCAGGCCUAACACAUGCAAGUCGAGCGCGCCCUUCGGGGUGAGCGGCGGACGGGUUAGUAACGCGUGGGAACGUACCCUUUGGUAGGGAAUAGCCACUGGAAACGGUGAGUAAUACCCUAUGAGCCCUUCGGGGGAAAGAUUUAUCGCCAAAGGAUCGGCCCGCGUUAGAUUAGGUAGUUGGUGGGGUAAUGGCCUACCAAGCCUACGAUCUAUAGCUGGUUUUAGAGGAUGAUCAGCAACACUGGGACUGAGACACGGCCCAGACUCCUACGGGAGGCAGCAGUGGGGAAUCUUGGACAAUGGGGGCAACCCUGAAUCCAGCCAUGCCGCGUGAGUGAAGAAGGCCUUAGGGUCGUAAAGCUCUUUCGCCUGUGAAGAUAAUGACGGUAGCAGGUAAAGAAACCCCGGCUAACUCCGUGCCAGCCGCCGC
rnacentral:rRNA from 1 species